rnacentral:lncRNA from 1 species
CCUCCCUAAUGAACGUUGCUAGUGAAUGAAUUCAGAAAGACAAGCCACAAUAAUGAAAAAUGUCACUAUGAAGACAAAAAGGAAAAUAUAAGACAAUAUUAUAAAUGUUAAGUCUAAAAAUUAAAUUCCCCCUGUUGGAGGGCAAUCUGUCCCAUGCACAGAAUACACAGGGAGAGAAACAGCACCAGGGGAGCUCACCAUCCACGCCCCCAUGUCUUUCCUCAUCCCCGCCCUGUCCUUACCUGGGAUCCAGAGCAUCAGCAGCCCCAGGAGCUGAGAUGGGAACCUCAUCUUGAGAAGCUGAGCUGAGGAGCCCUAAUAAAGAUAGAUCGAUUAAUCGAUCGAUAGACACACACAUGCCAUGUGGUAUAUAUGAGACCCUUCAUUACAACAGUGACAGAACCUGAUGAUUCUUCAUGUGUCUGCUUGACGUUAUCAUAUUGAGAUAUUUGUGAGAAUUGUGUCAACCUCAAGUUACCUCCCAAUUAAAGUCACUGUCCUCAAACAAAAUCCUGGAGAAACUGAAAGCAUAGAGUUUGUAGUUCUACUGAGUCUCAGGUAAUUAAAAGCCAAAGUCAUACUGAAUUGAAAAAUAACUGAUAAAUACAAUUCCAGGUGUGAUUACACAGAAAAGCUCAGGCUCUGUAUCUCUCUUAGGAUAUCUUCCAAGAGUAAGAUUUUGUACUGAGAGUGGAAUAGCUAUUGUGUAAAAAUGCUGUGGAGAGCAAAUCCUGAACUCUGUGGAGAGUCUCAGGUGCUCAUGACAAAAUGAGAUAGAAGUAAGAGUAGAAUAGCCCAAAUUCCAUAAUAUCUUACUUUUCAUUUUAUUACUUUUUCUUAUGUUUUCUUCCUUGAUCCAUCUUUUAAGCUAACCAAUGCAAUCCUGAAUCUUCCUGAAAAUUCCAG